CUGUGGUGGGAUCACGAUCAGUAGAAUGGUAGAAUGCUGACGUCACAAAAAUAAUUCUACAAUCGACAAUUUUGGUAUCACGUUAACACGCUUGGGAAAGUAGAAUCGGUGCUCGGCAAUGUUCGGAUAUUCUACUAGCCGUGUUAAAAUAUCGCUUCUUCUUCUUAAAAAUAUUGGUCGCGUUCACCAGAAUAAUCCGAGUGCAAUCCGAUUAAUUUGCGCUGAAACGCUGACAGUUUUUUUACUAGUGAACGACUGACGUUUGACAUUCGAUUGAGAGUGUUCUGUGUUCCAUUUGUUUAUGUUUUUAUUCCAUAGAGGUAUAUAUUAACAUAGAGGGAACCUACCUUCCGCGCUUCCUGACGACAAGAUCUCAUGGACUGGUUUGCUGCAUCUCUUUCUAACACAUUGUAUCGAAAAUCUAUGAUGACAUUCAGUGUGAAUAUAGGCACGGAAGAGGAGGACAACUGUAGCAGCUUUACUAUGCGUAAGAGUGAAACAGCACUAAUCCAAAUAAAAAAGAUGGUGUCGUCACUUCGCUCUGAAUGACACUCUCUCUAUGCUAAUAUAUAACUCUAUGUUUUAUUCUUUGUUUAUAUAAUUUAUAACCUAGACAGUUUUGUUUUUAAAUAAAACUGAAACUGUCUAAACUAAAAUGGAUAAUAUUCUUGAAGAACUUUUGUUUGGGGACGAAAUUAGCAAAUGCCGUUAUACAUUUAGCAGAUGUACCUACCUCAAAUUAUUCCAGAAGGAUGAGAUGAAAUUAAAUAUAUAUAAACCAUAAUUCAAUAUCCAAUUUAGAGAACAUUUUCAUAUGUCCAGAACUACUUUCCAGGAACUAUUUAAUUGUAUUGGUCAUAUCCACCAAUUUGAAAACAGAAUAAUUCUAUUGGAAAAAAUUAAUGUUUAUGAUGUGGAUGCUAAGUAAACCAGAGAAUUUGUUGCUGGGGAUACGUUUGGUUUGCCAAAGAGCUCUGGACAUAAGAUUUUCACCCAAAUAAUAUAGAAUUACAAAAAAUUGGAAAUAACUAAUCUUGAAUAUCAAUGUGUAUAUUGAGUUUAAUUUUAUUGUAAAUAUUCUAUAAUAUAAUUUUAUUGUAAAUAUUGUAUUAACACAUUUGUGGACACAUCUUCAUAUGCAGACAGUAAUUUCCCUUUGUAAGUACAUGCAUAUUAGUCGUAUCUGCGAAUGGGUUAAUUGUAAAUCGUAAUCAAUAAACAUUUUUUGUGAAUCAAUAAAAAACUGGUUUGUUUGAAAAUAAAUGUAGUACAAAUGUG